rnacentral:rRNA from 1 species
AGCGAACGUUUGCGGCGGGCCUAACACAUGCAAGUCGAACGCACUAGCAAUAGUGAGUGGCGCACGGGUGCGUAACACGUGGGUAAUCAACCCUUCAGCCUGGGAUAACGACUCGAAAGGGUCGCUAAUACCGGAUACGGCGCGAGAGGCUUCGGCUUCUCACGAGAAAGCCACGCAAGGGGCACUGAAGGACGAGCCUGCGGCCCAUCAGCUAGUUGGUGAGGUAAGAGCUCACCAAGGCUAAGACGGGUAGCUGGUCUGAGAGGAUGAUCAGCCACACUGGAACUGAGACACGGUCCAGACUCCUACGGGAGGCAGCAGUGGGGAAUAUUGCGCAAUGGGCGAAAGCCUGACGCAGCCACGCCGCGUGAGCGAUGAAGGCCUGGUCGUAAAGCUCUGUGGGAGAGACGAAGAAAGACCUGUGAAGAGCAGGCCUUGACGGUAGUCUCCUUAGCAAGCACCGGCUAACUCCGUG